CUCUAGACCAGAUAACAGAGUUUUCUUUAUCGCGUGAAGUAAAAAAAGUGAAGGCGUGAAACAAAAGAAAAUAGUUACGAAAUUUAAUAACGCACAUCAAACUUGAAACAGCCCGAAAUCGCGCCAGUGUAAAAUAUUUUUUUUUUUUCCUAUUUAUUGAAUUACCGUCAGCGUAUGUUUUGGUAACAAAACUUUUUAAUUGUAUCGAUUAUAAUUCAAUUUAUCAACUGAAAAUAAUUUUGAAUAUUUGAGAAAAUUCAAUUAUUGUAAUUUUUCAAUUCGCUGCAAAAUAAAUUUUUAAAAAAAGGA